rnacentral:lncRNA from 1 species
GUCCCUUAGUCCUUCCAAGGGAGGUUCUCACAAUACCUGACGGAUGUGAAAGACUUGACUUCUAGACCUGUGUCUGAAGGCCUAGGUUUGCAGUCUGCAGAGCUAUCUACAGGGCUGGUGGGAGACCCCUGAAAAGAAACCGGAGAAGCUUGCUGACAAAAGACUGGAAUUCUGGUAUCUCUUUUGUUUUCACCCAAGUCUGUGGCCACUGACAUUCCUCUUUUCCACCACGGGUGGAUAAUAAGCCCCCUUCUCAGGAAUCGAAAUGCUCUUAUACAUUUUAAUGUGACCUUAGACAGCGCUGUUCAGAAAUCACAGGCCCAUCUGACUACACUUGAGGUUGAAUUGAGCUAAUGGUAUUCACCUCAUCUUUAGAUGCAAAAUUGGAAGAUAAAAAGACCUUGAUGUGAAAAGCAGGGGGGGAUGUGAGGGAGGGGAGGUGGACGGGUUGCGGGGGGCAGGAGGGGGGAAGCAGAUUAGAGAUACUGCUUAAAAAUCACGUGAUUGUGCGUUGAUAACGAAAUGUCUCCUCUUUCCCAAAUCCCCCAUGGGCUGGAGAGAUGUCCUUAUUCUUUUAUUUUUAACGAUAGAAUCUUUUUAUUCCUGAGCUGGGGAAAUUUGAAUGUUGCUGCAUAUGUGGCCAGGAGAUACAUUGACCUUUAGCAAAUCUUAUUUUAAAAAACCCAGAUUGAACAGUUAUUGCAAUAUUUCAGCCCUGUAAGAUGAAAAGAGAGAGAGAGAGAGAGAGAGGAGAGGAGAGAGAGCGCGCCUUCUUCCUCUGUAAUCAGAUGUGGAUUAAAUUUAUUAAAGAUGCUGUGUCUCCUUUUAAAUGACUGGCAACCCUCUUUCUGAAUUAUCAGGAGCUGGCUGGAGACAUGGCACCCUUCUGAUUUCAUCUUAAGAUGACAGAGAAAAGUCUAAAAUGGGAGAAAACUUGGUUCCUCUCUGUUGCUCUUUGGCUCAAACUUGGUUUUCAUCCAUUAAGCCAAAUGCAUUCAGGGCCCCAUGGUGAGGCCCAGAAGGGGAUGAGGGUAAAUGGGAGGGUGGGGGCACAGGGUGUGGUCAGAUCAGCUUCCCAGGAAAGAAGCUGGGAGGGAGCCCCUGCAGCUCACAUAAAAUGCGCAACCCCUAGAGACAGGCUCAUUUCCAGCUUUGACGUGCCUGCUGUCUGUCAAGGGCCCAGUGAAUGCUUCCCACCCGCAGGGCUCAGCCGCCUCCAGGACCCAGGGGCCCAUUGGGCAAUCCAUCACGGAGCACACCUGGCCUGCCCAAAGGACACAGCAGUGAAGACUACAAUGACUAGUAGUACAAUUUCUUACCACUGUCAUGCUUUAUGCAAGCUGCCAGAAGUUUUAUCCACUGUGGCUUUUGCACCAUCAGUACAAAUAUCAACAAAGUUAAAAGAGAUUUUUUACUCCUGA